rnacentral:rRNA from 1 species
AUUGAACGCUGGCGGAAUGCUUUACACAUGCAAGUCGAACGGCAGCACGGACUUCGGUCUGGUGGCGAGUGGCGAACGGGUGAGUAAUAUAUCGGAACGUGCCCAGUCGUGGGGGAUAACGUAGCGAAAGCUACGCUAAUACCGCAUACGAUCUACGGAUGAAAGCGGGGGAUCGCAAGACCUCGCGCGAUUGGAGCGGCCGAUAUCAGAUUAGGUAGUUGGUGAGGUAAAGGCUCACCAAGCCGACGAUCUGUAGCUGGUCUGAGGGGACGACCAGCCACACUGGGACUGAGACACGGCCCAGACUCCUACGGGAGGCAGCAGUGGGGAAUUUUGGACAAUGGACGCAAGUCUGAUCCAGCCAUUCCGCGUGCAGGACGAAGGCCUUCGGGUUGUAAACUGCUUUUGUACAGAACGAAAAGGUCUCUAUUAAUACUAGGGGCUCAUGACGGUACUGUAGGAAUAAGCACCGGCUAAUUACGUGCCAGCCGCCGCGGUAA